rnacentral:snRNA from 1 species
GUAUCCCCUCUGUCAUUUGACUUGCGUCCUUGCUAAUAAUUAUCAGAAUCCUCAGUCCUCAUUCAAGGAUGAGACUUUGAUUAUUCUCAUUUUUCUUUGAGGGGAUUGACCGCCUGGCUUGCCAGUGUCGUUUCCCACCGUGUCACGAGUAUUACACUGCUCCUCGUUGACGCGAACUUCAC